ensembl:lncRNA
GGGGGGUGUAACUCUCCGCUCCCGGAAUCAUGACAAGCGAGCUUCUGGCAUUUUCAGCGGGGACGCACUUUCAUAAGUUGCGCUGUUAUUUCAGUACCAUCGUCAUCGUUACACAAGAUAAAGCGGACAUGGGUGACGUUCCAAUGAUCUGAACAUGGAGGUUCAGCCGAAGAAAAGAUCGAGGAACCGAACGAGGUCCUCCACUGCCAGUGAUGGAUUUGGACUGGAUUUGCCAUUUGGAUUUGCAUGAUGGUUGCCAGGUCCACGUCACAAAUCCCCCCCUCUGUUUGACCACUGAAAGAUGUUCACUGACGUUUCAGAAAAGGGAGAAGCUCACUUUGCCCUCAAGGUCCAGUAUUUCUCUCUCUCUCUCUCUAGAUGGAUGACAUCAUUAUCAGUGAUAUACUGUGAGUUUGAUGUAUAUGGGGUAUUUCUCUCUCUGGUCUCUCUCUCCCUCUUACUCACACACACACACACACACCACACACACACACACACACACACACACACACACACACACACAAACAAAAACACACAGACACACACUCCUUCUCUUCCUUCUUUCCCUAUGAAGAUAGUGGUGGGCACAACCACAGCAUAGAUGACAUCAUUAUCAGUAAUAUACUGUGAGUUUGUGUAUGCCGGGAUUUGUGUGUGUGUGUGUGUGUGUGUGUGUGUGGCGUGUGUGUGUGUGUGCACGUGUGUGUGUUCCCUGCAUGUUACUUCCUUUGAGUGAAAGAGCAGGAAACUUUUUGACAGGCAGGGCGGAGAACAUCCCCUCCUCCUCCCCUUCCACAGAAGUCCCAUUCACUCCCACCCAGCAAGGACCCCCAGCUCUCCUCUAACAAGGCCAAAAGAGUGUGUUUGUGUUUGUGUGUGUGUGUGUGUGUGUGUGUGUGUGUGUGUGUGUGUGUGUGCGUGUGUGCGUGCGUUCACUCAGCCCCAAGCUUUCUCCCGCUCUACUAUUAGUGUGUGCAUGUGUGUGUGUGUUUAAGUUUAUGUACUAGUUUGUGUACAAGCGUGUUGGUGUGUGUGCGUUCAUGUACAAACAUGCAUGUCUUUGUGGUUUGUGCAUGUAUGUACUGUAUUUGGUUAUACUUGUGGAUCUAGGGAAAUACUAUGCUAUCCUCUACUGGUUGUUUGUUGCUGGGUUGAAAUGGUUGAAACUCUUUCGAUGCAUAACAUCUGUUUCAUCAGCAGUUACGGCUAGAGUGGCCAUGUUUGUGUAUUCAUGGAAGCUGUUAGACUUUUUGAUGUUGUGUGUAAUUUGUGUUAUGGUCUAAUUUUUGUGGUCGUAUGCUGUGGUUAUGAGGUCGUGUGCAUUUACGUUGUGCAUUUGUGUGUGUUUAUGUUGUUGCGGUAUAGUAUUGUAUGUGUAUGUUGUUGUGGUUGAAUCAGUACGUUUUGUAGCUGCUUGAGUUGGCAGGAGUUUGGGCUCAGUGGUUUAAAUGGUUUUGCCUCUCUGGGGUUGCCUGUUUUUGAGGGAAUUUCUCGUCUUUUUGUGGCAUUGAGGUUUUGCACGUGUCUCUGUGGUUCCAGGGGUUCUUGCGCAUGUGUUUGAGUUUUGUCGGGACUUGUAGUGUAAGUGUAUUCUAAACGAUAUGACUGUACUGUGAUGAGACCAAUCAAUGCUGGUGUUUAAUAUGGAUCAAAUAAAACAAAAUAUGAAAAUCUAUAUUUUAUAGGUUGAAAAUGGCUUAACACACCUAUGUUGACGUAGGUUAGGCCCUUUAGUACAUAGCUACGCCAUGAAAUACAUAGACUCUCAGUCCAGUAAACUCUCAGUAUAUGACAGCAUAUGACAUUUGCCAUGACAAGUCUAUGACAUGGUUAUGUUAGUCUUAUGAAGCAGGCUUCAAGUAAAGUAUUACCCAGGUUUGUGGGUCUGAAGUUGCAUUGAUAUGUCCCAUGUCAGUAAAGUCUUGGAAUACCAUAUCAGUAAAGUCUUGGAAUACCAUGCCAGUAAAGUCUUGGAAUACUAUGUCAGUAAAGUCUUGGAAUACCAUGUCAGUAAAGUCUUGGAAUACCAUGUCAGUAAAGUCUUGGAAUACCAUGUCAGUAAAUGUCGAUAUUUGAGGACAUAUUAGAGUCUACUUUAGCAUUAGUGGCCCACAUGUCCACAUAACAGUAAAGCCUUUGACUGUGUGUUGCAUUCAGAGGAAAAACAGCCUCACCAUUUACUCGAAUUACACAACUAUUAGGUAUUUUCUUUGAAGUCUGUGCAUGGCGAAAGUGCACACGCAUUUGUGUAUGCAUGUGUGUGUGUAUAUGUAUAUGUGUGUGGGCGGGGGGUUUGUUUGCACUUGCCCUCUCGUUGUUGAUCUACAGUAUGUGUGUAUAUAUAUAUAUAUAUAUAUAUUAGUGCUGUCAAACGAUUAAAAUAUUUAAUCGCGAUUAAUCGCAUUUAUGUCAUAGUUAACUCAAAAUUAAUCGCGAUUAAUCGCAAAUUUUUAUCUAUUCUAAAUGUCCCUUCGUUUAUUUAUUUUUUUCCAUCAUUUUAUUUUUAUUUUAAUGCCCUUAUCAACAUGGAAAAGUGGAUUGGCUUGCUUUAUGCAAAUAUUUUAUUUUAUUGAAAACCAAUAUUGCCAAACAGGGCGGUACAAAAUAAAAUUAUAAAGUGCACAUUUCAGGUAAACAAGGACUCAGCCUAUAGUGCAGUUAAACCAUGGCUUAAUAUUUUCUUUUUUUCAAGUUUGCUGGGAACAUAGCUGUCAGGCCUCUUAUUUCAGAAACAUUGAACCGUAACAGUAAGGUUACCAAUAAAAGGUAAGCCUACUACUUCUUUGCUUUCAGCCAGCUGCCUGUUGACAUUUUCAGACAACAGUGAAGCUCGCUUCUUUUGCACAACACAACUUUUAAAAGUAAACUUUCCAUUCAGAAGCUUUUUAUCAUCUAUGUCGCCGUAUCGCGCUCACCAUUCACUCAAACUGUAACGUUAGCCUACUACACAGUUUGCGAGGCCAAAAAGAAUGUAAAUCUAAAAAAAAAAAAAAAAAAAAAGAAAUCGCGUUAAUCUCGCGAUAAAAAAAUUAACGGCGUUAAAAUGGGUUUGCGUUAACGCCGUUAAUAACGCGUUAAACUGACAGCACUAAUAUAUAUAUGUGUAUGUGUGUGUGUGUGUUUGUGUACUAGUGUUUGGCGUCUUUGAUGAUGGAUGUAUGGAGUUGAUGACGGAUUGUUGUUGCGGUUGCAGGAUGCCUCGCAGCCGGUUACACCCCAUAUCUUCUCAAUAGUCAAAUCAGUUCUUUAUGUUCCAUAUCGUUUCCCCUCAGUAGAUAACAAUGAGCAUACACACCACAUAGAUGCGUAGGUAGGUAGAUAACUAUGAGGUAAUGCAUUUGUCAGGUACAUGAGGUAAUAAAAGUGUCCCUCUCUCAUAAUCUUUCCUUAUCUUGAUUUGUUAUUAUUUGCUUUAUUGGAAAUAGAAAAUAAUAUGUAUUUAAUGCAUAAAAGUUAAGAAAAUUAGCAAUAUUGAGGAUCCACACCUUCACUCCCUUACUGCUUUGUCUCUUUUAUCUCUGCUUCUUUCUCUCACUACUGUGAUUGAUCUAGAGGAUAGGGUGUGGCGGUGCACUAUGGAGGUGUGUGUGUAUGUGUGUGUUUGUGUGUGGUGUGUGUGCGUAAUUGUGUGUGUGUACGUAGAUGUGUGUGUGUGUGUGUGUUUGUGUGUGGUGUGUGUGCGUAAUUGUGUGUGUGUAUGUGUGUGUGUGUGUGGUGUGUGUGUGCGUAAUUGUGUAUGUGGUGUGUGUGCGUAGAUGUGUGUGUGUGUGUGUGUAUGUGUGUGUGCGUAUAUUUGUGUGUGUGUGUGUGUGUGUGUGUGUGUGUGUGUGUGUGUGUGUGUGUGUGUGUGUGUUUACUUCCCUGUGUAUUGGGAUGGAAAUGUACUGGAGACUAAAUGUUGAGUAAGAGGAGAGAUCUUUGGCACUGGGGUUUUUGGGCAUAAAAAAAGAAGUGAUGUCAUCACCUUGCUCAGUGAUUGGCCGAGCACUUGAGGGCGUAGCGGAGAAAGUGAUGGGUGGGUGUGUCCAUUGACCUACAUGUCCAUAACGACUCAGCCAGGUAACACAGGUGUAUUUGAACCUUCACGAGUGUGUGUGUGUGUGUGUGUGUGUGUUUUGAGCUUAGAUAAUAUUUUUUUGUGUUGAGUCUGAGCUUUGUGUGUGUGUUUUAGGACCCUCAACACUGCAGGAUUACUACACACUUUAUGGCAAGCCCCAAAAGGUCUGUGCCCAGGUGAGUGUGCACCUGUCUCAACUGCCAUAUACUCCCAAACUCACACGCACACACACACACACACACACACGCGCACGCACACACACACACACACACACACUGGAGCAGAUCUUCCUAUGCUGCCAAUGGAUGUUACUGUAUCGUAUAUGAAUGAGUUUGCUGACACACCUCCUGCUAACAACAUAACCUGUUGGCACACUUCUUUUAUAUUAUCCAUAAUUCUAGCGUGUUAUAUGGCUGGAGAUUGUUUUUGUCUAACUGGCUAGUUCUCUUCUAUUGUGUUCUCUGUGUGUUUCUGUGUGUGGGCUGAUCUCUGUGUGCUUGUGUGAGUGCUCUGCUCAGACUGGCGCCUGCCCUGACAGAAGAGCUUCCAGCAGCGCUGAAGGUGUGCACUUGGCUCCUCCACUGUCACCUCCAUGCUGUGCCAUGGUAACGCCGAUGUUUGUUUGAGUUGAUAGAGUCACUUCCUCACCCAACCAGUCAUGCACAUGCUGAGCUCUUCCAGCUGUCCCUCUCUCUCUCUCUCUCUCUCUCUCUCUGUGUGUGUGUGUGUGUGUGUGUGUGUGUGUGUGUGUGUAUGUGUGUGUGUGCGCAAAUGCAUCCAUAGAGCUCAUGUUUGUAUGAGAAUAUAUAUCAGAAUAUAUUUUCGUGUGUGUACUUGUGUAAUGUGUGUGCGUUUGUAAGUUCAUGUUUGGAUGGAUGUGUGUGUUUUUUGUGAGUGAGUAUUUGUGUAUGUGAGUGUGUGUGUAUGUGUAUGUAUAUAUACACACAUAGUUUGUGUGUGUUUGGGAGGGGGGGGUAUUCUUGUCUUCACCUUACAUUGUGUGGUUGCAGCACUGCCUUGGUCCGUCCCCCAAAGUCUUCCCCGGGAAGCUGGUUUCAGAUGGUGGAUUAGAUGUACGCUUCUCUGGUCUAGCACCAUUUGAAAUCAGUGUUCCCGGGGGCAGAAGAGCAUCUGUGACACAGGGGUCACCAAGAGGUCAAGACAGGGUCAUUCACAGCCUACACGUGGAUCACACAAUCACAAGGACUGGAUAUACAGACAAAAUAAAAAAUACCACACCAUAAAAAUAUUACACCAAUUUCCACUCCACAGGAUUAGAAAUAUCUAUGGUUCCUACACAACUGAAGUGUAUCCGUAUGACAUUCAUUUGAUGUUAUUGGUUUCCUUGCCUGUAGGGAUUCUGUAUAACACAGGGCUGGAGUGGUGAUAUGUAAACUGGGUAGUCUUACUGAAGGUGGCAGUGAAAGAACAAAUUAGCCUAGCUUGCAAAUGAGUGCAUAAGUUACAGUGCUGUCAUUAAUUACUGUGCAUGACCUGCUAUGUAAGCAUGGUUGCUGUAUAGCCUUGCGGUGAGAGAGCCAACUACACGCACAAAUUGGACUAAAAAACAGACACAAAGGUCAUUAUCUUUUGAUGAAUGUGUGCUACCUCAAAUAUAUCCCCAUCCAGCAACGUACCACAGGCAAUAUUUUAGUGUGCAAGGCCAUGGGUAACAAGAGGCAACACACACACACACACACACACACAAACACAAGCUCUCUGCCUCCCUCUCCCACCCUGACAUUUCUCCCCCCACCUAAAGAUGACUGAUUUCCUCUGGUGUUUAGAGCCGCCUUGCCUUCUAGCACCAUUUGAAAUCGGUUAUGAUGACUGGGGAUCAAUGCUGCAGUGCAAACCUACCGGCACACGGGAGAGAGGGGCGAUCACAGGGACAGACUUCAGAGCUACAACAGCAGAGCUACAAUACAGACUUCAGAGCUACUUUGUGGGAAUAGCUGAAAUGUAUAGGAAUGAUUAUUUUUAAAGCAACUAUCAUCCUACCACAGAUAAUAAGGCUGUAUCUCUCUCUUUCUCUCUCUCUAUCUCUCUAUCUUUCAUCUAUCUAUCUAACUAAGUUUGGCUGGCUGUCUUUCUUUUGAUUUGUCUCUCCAUCUGUCUGUCUGUAUAACCAAAUAAAGUUUUUAAAGACCAUUUCCUUACUAUUUUCAUUCCCUUGUAGCCUCCUCAUUCAGACUGCCAGCUCUGCCACCUAGUGUCAUUUUUUUGCAAUUACAUCAAUUACACAUCAACGACACUCAAACGCACCGUAACCUGACCUACUUGAACUAACUAAGCUUUGCUGUUUAGUUUGUUAGAGGGCAGCCAUUUUUUCAGUUGAUGACUGUUACCUUCUGAUGCCAGCACAAUAAAUCAGUUACAGUUACAAUGACGUAAGUGAUGGCAGGUUGGUAGGAACAGACUGUGCAGAUGAAGUGUUUUGAACUCCGAGUGAACUCUGUUGUAGUGAAUAGAAGAGUGCCCCGUAAUGGCGGCACCACGGAGGCCUGGGCAGCAGAAACGGCAGAGCUCCUUCUCUCGUUUGUCUCCAGAGAAUAACACACUGCGGCCAUGCCUGGAGCCCGACCCUAUCUACUGCUCUAUAAAUAACCUGUGUGGGUGUGUUUGUUAUCUCGCUCACUAAAGAUGUGCCUUGAUGAGUUGCUGUGACAUUGUUGAGCUUGUGUUGCAUGUGCACACACACACACACACACACACACACACACACACACACACACACACACACACACACACACACACACACACACACACACACACACACACACACACACACACAGCGCAGUAUAUGAUGCUAUACUGUAUAUCUAUAUCUAUGUUGUGCCUUACCUAUCUCUUGCUUAUCUGUCGAACCAGGAACAGCUCAAUAGCAAGUGACGUCAUGAGAAGACGUGAAUAGACAACCCGCAAACUCUCAAAGCAGUUAUCAACUUCUUAUAUUCAAUCAGAAAUAAUUACUUAUUAUUUUUUAGAGUAGAAAUUUGAAACAAAGAAGAUAAAUAAAUGCUUUAAGGGCAACACAACGUCCCUUUUGUGACUUCGGCUUCCUCACAGGUAGAUUACACAGUGUGUCAGUGUGUGUUUGGUGAUCACACAUUGUGUCAUUUCUUAAGAUGACUUCAGAGAGGCCACAUAGGGCUCUGUGCUGCAGAGCCAGACAGGGAGAAGGCAGUACAGAACAGGAUGCCAGAUGCCAUGCAUUUGAAUGUUGUCACACCAUGGCAACUAAACUAACACUUGUCUUUCAACAAUACAACUGUACACUCAAUCAAGGUCAUUUCAGGAAGUAGCCUCUCUAUCUAAUCUCCUCAGAAUUACAGUUGUCUGUCAUGUAACUGUCAGUGGCGGUAUUCAGUGUUCUUCAACAUUGGUCUCAAAGACUCUUAUAUACCUAGAGGCUGACCUACUUAUUCAGGGGUGGGCGUUUGUUACAGCUUAGUAAAACGGGUCAAGAUUCUUCCAGAAGUAGGAUACUUCUCUUAAUGGGCAAACAGAGGCAGAGGAGUGCGGUGGGAAAAGGAUUAUGAAGUCCAGCCAAUCCAUCAAAUGUGAAAGGCCACAAUGAAAUAGCCCACAAUGCAUUUUGUGCCAAUUUGAAGAAUGUUUUUACAAUUUGCCUUGUCAUCAUUGUGAAUAAUCAGCCCAACUAGCACAGAAUCAAAUGGAUUCCCUUGUUCCCCUGUGAGACAGCAGUACCCAUUGUGUGAACAGGUUUUGGAGCUAUGUGGGGCAAGUGUGGGCUGUGUGGGCCAGGGUCAAGUGCUGCCUCAGGGAUGUACUCAGACUAUGAUGUCACAAUAGUUGAACAGUGACUGUCACGUUCCAAAUAUGGCGAAUUCUGACUCCAGGUCUGCCAGUCAGCAUUCCUCAUCUGGUGAAGAACAAUAGAAAACAAUAUGGCAAAAAAGUAAGAGUCUGUCCUAAAUGUGAUGUCAUGACCUGUUAUAACAGUAAUAAUAACCUCUUAAACUGUAACCUGUAGUAGGUGCUGAUGCAGUGGUAGAAAAAUAGUUCUACUAUUACGGUAGUCAAUACACAGUUGAUGGCAAUGCUCUACAAUAACAGAUAGAUAGUUUUUCAACCUUUACAGUUUAUAGUAUAAAUGAUAAAAAUGAAAAAAAAAAAACUGCUAAUGUCUGUUGGACUAAUCGUAUUUGUGGGUUUCCUGAGGAUAAUUUGACAAAUAACAAAUGACUUGUCUUGCCUUCUAUGCUGAGGUUGUAUGAGAAACUUUGUGUAACUACAAGUUCUGUUGUAGCAAUGCUGCGGAGAGCAAGUUCUUCAAGGCUUUCUGUCAGCCUAUCAGCAAUGAUGAGGUCAUUAGUCCUCUUGUCCAAGAGAUCUGCCAGAGGGCCAAAGGUAGGACAUCAGACUGUAACCAUGGCUACAGACGAGCUUUUCUUCUCUGCCUAUUGUGCCUUUCCUGACCUGUUAAGAAAAGUGAUGUAAAGAGAAAAAGUCGUGAUUGCGGCCCCCUUUGAGAAUUACAAAAGGCAAAUGGGCUUUUCUGAAAGGACCUCUGCAGGGUAGCCAACUGAAAAGGCCUUCUUGAUGUGAGAUUGAGCCCCCUUUCUGAAGUUGUAGCAUCAGAUGCACCGGUGCACAUAGAACAAGUUGCAGAAGUGCGGCAAAACAUGGACUGAAAUUGUCAGACAAAUUGUCAUUAUAAAUUGGCAAAAGUGAUUAUGCCAAUUUCUAUGAUCCAAGAACAAAGUUUGAGCUCUGGUUGAGUGUUGAAUGAAUGUUCAUAUUAAUGUUUUUUUUGUUUUUUUUAAAUGCUUGUUUAUACCAGUUUUAGAUUCUCAGGAGAUUUGGAACAUUUUGAGGGCAGAGACCAAAUCAAAGCUUGCUCAGCCGACAGUCUCCCAAAAAGUGCUUGCAGCUAUGAAGGUUCUGCUCUCACAAACCACAUCAGAUGACAAAUACCACUAAACAAAAACAAGAAAAGAAAAUUCUUUGAAUCUGCCCUCUCUCAGUUGCCUUGAUCAUUUCAUUCUAUUCCCACUUUCCAUAUCUCUAUCUUUACCUUCUUUCGCUCUUCAUUUUACAUUUCUCUCUCACACUCUUCUGACUCGUCCUAUACUUCCUUUUUUAUGCAUACACUUUCUCUCUAUUUUACUCACUUCUGCCCUCUCUCUUUCUCCACCAUUAUUUCUCUCUUUUUUCUUCCAUUCCAAUCUCUUCCACUCUCCCCUCUCACUCUCCUCUCUCUCCUUUCCAGUUGUUGGACGAGCAUCUGGAGUGUAAACGUGUGACAGAGGAAAAAAAACGCACCAUGUUGCAGAGGUGUCGAGUCAUUCUCAUGUUCAAAGCAUCUGAAUUUAACCUGGACCGCACGACCUUGCUGAUCGCCAACAACCCACUGCAGACUGCCGAUGACCCUGCGGGCACCGACAGCCCUACUAAAUACCUGCAUACCUAUACCCACCCCCCAAUACAGGUGACGGUCUACCUUCCCGCAACAUCCCAACAUGACACACCGUCAGGUGAAAGUCGUGUAGCCUAGAUCAGAUAGAAUGCUAACAGUAAUUAGUUAGCUUGUAAGCCUGUUGCUGGCUUGACAAUAUUGCAUCUGGCUACUAAGCCUUAUGACAUUCUUGGCGGUUGACAUCAGAGGUCUGUGCAAUUACGGUUCAAGUCCAAACUGGGCAGCAAAAUUGCUUGUAUAAGAAUCAUAUUAGGCCUCUAUUAGACCCACACCUAAAUAAAUACAAUGCUGAGCCUACGAAAGAAAGAAGGGAUGGGUGCAAAAAAAAACUAGCUACCCGCUACCAACACCUGAAACAGAGAGGGGUGAAGUGAGAUGGGUAUUCAGAGAGAUGUCAAUCAGUCUACAACUACUUCCUGUGUCAUUCCCAGUGUCAUUACUGUACUCCCUCCCAGUGUCAUUACUGUUGUAAAUCUGUACCAGACCACAAUUACUGAUAUCCUGAUGGCUUGCCAAGGGCUAUGUGGAAAGACAGUGAUGAAUACACUUCAGGAUGUAAAUUACUUUCUUCACACAACGUAGAGUUCAAUCCAAAGCUUUUUGGACUGUGACGUGUUUGUUGAGGUAUUAAUGUAAAAACAGCUGUCCCUUAACUGUUUACCCAGUAUUUAUACGUGUAAACACCCUCUUAUAAAAUCUGAGGGCAAGCACGUUAACUUUGAUGUCAUAGUUUUAUUUUCAUUUCAAAUCUGAUCUGUUGUCUUGGAGCACUGAGCAAAACAUAAGUGAAAAUGAUGUCAAGCUCCAAUACCUUUAGACUGCACUGCACUGUAUAUGACACAUCUCCAUCCUCUCCAGAAGGGGGCACCAGACUUGACCAGCUCUUGCAAACUGCCUCCUCUGAAACGACCUAUAACAUCUAAUUCACCAAGACAGGAAAGAGCGGGCAGGUAUAUCCCAACUAUUCAGUGCAUUCUGUUUUUUCCACAGCCACUAAAGUAACUGUUUCAACAAAAGAAAGUGCUAAAAAUGCUUAAAAAAAAACAACAACAUGCAUAUCGUUAGAGUGCGCAUGAUUAGGGAAAGUUGGUUUGGGGCAAGGACAACGCUAAAAGAGCUAAUGAUUUUUCUGCAGUGUUGUUGUCAAGAGGUAUUGUCAGUGCCUUUCUACGCAAACUGAAGCCAGGAAAAAUAGAUGUGAAAUCACUUGGGGCAUCUAGGUUAGGUAUACGUGGCACAUCUUUAUUUUUUUUUUUUUUUUUUAAAUCUGCCCAGAUAGUUAGGCUACUUCUUUGAGAUGACCAGGAGAGGUCUGUGUUCUAUCUGUCAUGGAAAUGGACUUGAUCAUGUCAUAAUAAACAACUUAGCGCAACUGUUUCAAUACAAGAAAAUCAAUACAUUGGAAAAAGCAUAAACCUUGUUUUAGGAUAGAACAGAUUAUAGGAUUAUUGAUACUUCAGGUAUUUGGCCUUCACUCCAGACACGUUAGAAGAGCCUCAGGUCCAAGCCUAAGUUUAUUGCUGCCUGAAUUCAAUAUCUUACUUUUAACCCACCACUGAUUUUGUUUCACAGACCGUAGUGGGGCCAAAAGUGGAGCUGUCUCUCGAGGAACCAUUGACUAUUUCAGCUCUGAUGAAAAACUCAACCGCAGUGACAGUGCCAGGUCAGGGAAGCUUUCAGGCAUGGCCAGGGCCACAUUCUGAACAUAGACAGCA